GACUAGCCUCAGCAUUUUCCAGCUAGAUCGAAGGCAUCCGUAUUGGCUUUCCUGUUUCCUUCAUCGUCAUCACUGGAUUCUGCAGAUCUUUUGGGCUAGCACUUAUUUCAGAUAACAGUAUAGUACCUGGCAUUCAGUGUUUGGUGUUCUCAGGAGGCAACAUCUCAAACUGGUUUUUGCUGUUCAUCUAACAUUUGUACAGAAGAUUGUCCUUGAAGAAGCAUGGCUAUUUGCAUGUCCAGAAUCACAGAAUCAUAGAAUCACCAAGAUUGGGAAAGACCGCCAAGAUCAUCCAAUCCAACCAUCCACCUGCCGCCAGCAUUUCCACACUAAACCACAUGGCUCAGUACAAUGUCUAAACAUUUCUUGAACACCUCCUGGGACAGUGAAUUCACCACCUUCCUGGGCAGCCCAUUCCAUCACCAAACCAUUAUCUUGAAGAUGUACCUCCUAACAUCCAACCUGAAUCUCCUUUGGCACAACUUGGGGCAACUCAUAUCUACUGUGACAGCAUGAUCUAGAGACAGGAAAAUACAGAUCAUUCUUUUGUCAGAAAAUGAAUUGACAAGAGUGUUACUUUCCAUCUGUAUCAGUAUAAAUCAUAAUCAUUCCUAUUCAAUGUUUUCAAUUACCACAAUAUAUUUAUUGAAUAAUUAAACCCAAUAUGUUAAUGGCCCUAUGGAGCAACUGAAGAAACCAAAUAACUGUCGUAGAUAAUUUCUGAUAGAUAGGGCUCAUGUACAGACCAGGUACUUUAUGCAAUAAAAUGCUGUAAAAUUUU